AUGAAAAUGUCACUUUUGUGUAGAUGCUCUCAAUGAGAUUUAUUGCUUUUCAUUUCAGGUACUUACUUUUCUGAGUUAGUGCUACUUAUUUUUCAAUGUGCUGUUACUUAUGAAGUACUUUUUUACUGAUUUAUUUUUAAACAAUUUAACAGAGUAAAAAAUGUGAAUAUGAAUUUUAAGUGAAAUUUCUCUGUAUCUGAGAAACUUACUAUGUGUGAAAUUUGUGAUGAAAAAGAAGACAGCUUUAAAUAUCUGGAUGUAUAAAUGAAACAAGUUUGUGAAAGGUUUUAGACAACUGCCAUUUCUGUGUAUGUGUAUUAUGGUGCUACACUGUCAUUUUGUAACUACAUGUAUAUUUGUGUAAGUGUGUGUACAUAUUGGAGUCUGGCAGAGUCUGUACAUGUUUGGUGUUUUGUCUUCCUUUAAUAACUAACAGCAAAAAGACACAAAUAUUCAUUUAUAAAAUGAAAAAAAAACUUUCAAAGUAUUAAAAUAUACUUGACC
rnacentral:misc_RNA from 1 species